AAGACGGAUGAGACCUUGACAAGCAGGUAACUAGAAUGCUAACACGAGUUGAGGACUUCUGAAGCUUUUAGAGGAUGAACAGACAGAAUUAAGAGGAUGAUCAGCUGAAGACGAAGGACAGAUGGAAGAAUUAAAUAUUGAUAUGUACAGCAGUGAAAGCAGAGUGGGGUGUAGUAGUCCAUUUUGGGGUCGUCCUAACAUGAGUGAUCUGAGGAUCGUUCUUCUGGGGAAAAGCGUGUCAGAAAACAGCGAGGUGGGAAACUUCAUCUUGGGCCGAUCAGCAUUUGACAGUGAAGCUCCUCCAGGUGUUGUGGAGAGAGUCGGAGGAAGACUGAGGGACAGACACGUGACGCUCAUCAACAGUCCUCAGCUGCUCCACACAAACAUCUCAGAUGACCAGAUCACACAGACGGUCAGAGAGUGUGUGAGUCUGUCUGAUCCAGGACCUCAUGUGGUGGUUCUGCUCCUCCAACAUCAGCAGUGCUCAGCGGAAGAUCAAGAGCGUGUGGAGAAGCUGCAGGACUCUUUCUCUGAGCGUCUUUUUCAACACACCAUGGUGCUCAGCACACAAGAGUCCACUGAACCCAAUGAGAUCCUGCAGAAAAUCAUCCAGACGUGCUCAAACAGACACUUCAGUCUUCAGAGAAGCAGCUCUGCUGAUGAUCUUCUGGAGGCCUUUGAGGACAUCGAGCAGAGCAAUGAUGGACGGUACCUGAUUUGUGCUCAAUAUGAAGCUUCACAGUGUUUUACAGUGGAUAAUCAGAUCACAAGAAGAGACUGUGAGAAGCUGAAUGUGGUAGUGUGCGGGAGCAACGGCUCGCUGAAAUCUUCCAUCUCAGAGCUGAUACCACAGCACACAAUCAGAAGAUCAGGGAGUGUGAGCACAGACGUGGAUCUUUAUGGUCAUCAGAUCAAUGUGCUGGAGCUUCCAGCUUUGUUCAAGACUGAGCUCUCGGAGGAGGAAGUGAUGCGACAGACUCUCGACUGUGUGUCUCUCUGUCAACCUGGCGUUCAUGCUUUUCUCUUCAUUAUUUCCGAUGCUCCACUGACCGAUGAGGACAAAGCAGAAAUGGAGGUGAUUCAGAGGGUUUUCAGCUCCAGAAUCAACAAACACCUCAUAACCCUCAUCAUGCAGAAUUCAGAGCAUCAGACAGCUGAACUCAAUGACGAAACACAGGCUGUCACUGAGAGUUUUGGAGGACGACAUCAUAUCUUUGGUCCCACCACUCAGGUGUCCAUGUUGAUGGAGAACAUUGAGCAGAUGCUGGAAGAAAACAGGGAAGAGGUUUACUCAACAGACACGUUUCUUGAGGCACAAAUGAAAAAACUGCUCCACUAUGAAGACAUGAAGAAGAAACUUCAUUCACUAGAGACAAAUUUACUGUCGCAAGGUCCAGUGGAGACUGAAAAUGAACUGAGGAUAGUCCUGUUGGGAAAAAGUGGAGUGGGUAAAAGUGCAACUGGAAAUACCAUCUUAGAAAGAUAUGUGUUUAAAGCAGAAACAUCUCAAGAGUCUGUUACUCAAGAGAGUCAAAGCGAAACUCGAGAAAUCAAUGGUCGACACAUUACUGUAAUCGAUACGCCAGGACUGUUUGAUACUGAACUCACUAAUGAAGAAAUCCAGAAAGAAAUCAGCAACUGCAUCUCCAUGAUUCUGCCUGGACCACACGUGUUCAUCAUCGUGCUCAAUUUAGGACAGAGAU
ensembl:processed_transcript